rnacentral:rRNA from 1 species
AAUCAACGCAGGCGGCGUGCCUCAGACAUGCAAGUCGAACGCUGCUGUUCGCCUUCGGGUGGACAGCGGAGUGGCGCACGGGUGAGUAACACGUAGGUAAUCUACCUUUGGGUGGGGAAUAACAGCCGGAAACGGCUGCUAAUACCGCAUAAUGCAGCGGCAUCACAUGAUGACAGUUGUUAAAGCGAGGGAUCGUAAGACCUCGCGCCUGAAGAGGAGCCUGCGGCAGAUUAGGUAGUUGGUGAGGUAAUGGCUCACCAAGCCUGCGAUCUGUAACCGGCCUGAGAGGGCGGUCGGUCACACUGACACUGACAUACGGGUCAGACUCCUACGGGAGGCAGCAGUCGGG